rnacentral:rRNA from 1 species
AUUGAACGCUGGCGGCUGGCCUAACACAUGCAAGUCGAACGAGUGGCGGACGGGUGAGUAAUGUCUGGGAAACUGCCCGAUGGAGGGGGAUAACUACUGGAAACGGUAGCUAAUACCGCAUACCAUCGGAUGUGCCCAGAUGGGAGUAUCUUGUAGGUGAGGUAACGGCUCACCUAGGAGACGAUCCCUAGCUGGUCUGAGAGGGUGACAAGCCACACUGGAACUAGGCCACGGUCCAGACGUCUACGGGAGGCAUGAGUGGGAAAUAUUGCACAAGGGGCUCAAGCCUGAUGCAGCCAUGCCGCGUGUAUGAAGAAGGCCUUCGGGUUGGAAAGGACUUUCAGCGGGGAGGCGUUACACGCAGAAGAAGCACCGGCUAACUCCGUGCCAGCAGCCGCGGUAAUAC